AGCUGCCACAUUCCACCAGAACUUGUUUUCACAUUAUGUUACUGUAACCCAGGGGAAGAGUUCAGAACAGUUCAAACUUGAGGUGUUAUUUACUCAGUAAGUCUCAAGUUUUUUAACAACAGUCAUGUUUCAUAAGGUUCUGAUCUGCCAAGCUGCCAGUGAGCCACUCUCCUCCCUAACAAAGUACCACACUCUCACGGCAGAUGACAAAAGUCAACCUGGAGCAGAACAGGUACAGGAAUGAAGCAUCAAAGAGGAGCUGACACAGAAACCCCCAUGAGAAGCACAGGGACCACCUGCUAUCUCCUGUGAGUACACUGAACUGCAAGCAAGAGCCAAGGAGCAGAGAGAGGAGAGCACCGAGGUGUUCAGACUUGAACUAUAACCCACCAUCCAAUGGGAAAAGGAAAUCGGU